GCCCUCGUAGCUCGGGGGAUAGAGCACACGCCUCCGGAGCGUGGGGCGCAGGUCGAAUCCUGCCGGGGGCA
rnacentral:tRNA from 1 species